UACGAAGGGGGCUAGCGUUGCUCGGAAUCACUGGGCGUAAAGCGCACGUAGGCGGAUUCCUAAGUCGGGGGUGAAAUCCUGGAGCUUAACUCCAGAACUGCCUUCGAUACUGGGAAUCUUGAGUCCGGAAGAGGUGAGUGGAACUGCGAGUGUAGAGGUGAAAUUCGUAGAUAUUCGCAAGAACACCAGUGGCGAAGGCGGCUCACUGGCCCGAUACUGACGCUGAGGUGCGAAAGCGUGGGGAGCAAACAGG
rnacentral:rRNA from 1 species